AAAACGACUCUCGGCAACGGAUAUCUCGGCUCACGCAUCGAUGAAGAACGUAGCAAAAUGCGAUACUUGGUGUGAAUUGCAGAAUCCCGUGAACCAUCGAGUUUUUGAACGCAAGUUGCGCCCGAAGCCAUUCGGCCGAGGGCACGUCUGCCUGGGCGUCACGC
rnacentral:rRNA from 8 species